rnacentral:lncRNA from 1 species
CCACAUUCUACCCAAAUGAUGAUACCAAGAACAAGCUUUUUACUAAAGAUAUUGAGCCACGACCAAGUGCCACAUUCUACCCAAAUGAUGAGAGCAAGGACAGGUUUUUUACUAAAGAUAUUGAGCCACGACCAAGUGCCACAUUCUAUCCAAAUGAUGAUACUAAGAACAAGCUUUUUACUAAAGAUAUUGAGCCACGACCAAGUGCCACAUUCUACCCAAAUGAUGAUGCAAACAAAAAGUUUUUUACUAAAGAUAUUGAGCCGCGACCAAGUGUCACAUUCUACCCAAAUAAUGAUAGCAAGAACAAGCUUUUCAUUAAAAAUAUUGAGUCACGACUAAGUACCACGGAAUGAUUACGCCAAGAACAACCUUUUCAGGAAAGAUAUGCAAUCCUUUGGUUACGUUAUAUGAUCAACUGUAUAUGUGUGGUUGGUAAUUUACAUUUCUGUUGAUUAUUGUGGCAUGUUAAGUAUGUGUGGUUGGUAAUUUACAUUUCUGUUGAAUAUUGUGGAAUGUUAAGUUGUAAAAUAAAUAAAUAAUUUGUGGAAAAUAAUGAUUAUGUGAGCAAAGCUUUCUCAUGGGAUGAUUGUUAGAUUUAUUUUUAAUAUAAUAUUAUUAUUAAUAUGAUAUAUAUGCAUUAUAUGAUAAUUUAUUUCUUUCGGGUCUAUUAUUUUGUAUUAAGUAAAUUAGGUAAAAAAAUAACGUCUUAACUAAACAAUCAUGAUUUGUGACAUCUGUAAAUAGAACCUUAGAGAUUGAUCAUCUCACUGCUUCAUUCAAGUAGUUUACUAUUUUCUAUCAAAAAAAUUUAAUUAAGUUAAGAGAGGUCAAGUGAGAUAAACACAAUCUAUUAAAGAACCAUUUAUGGAUGAAGGUAUGUGAUUCUGUUAGUGAGUUUGAUUUAUGAAAAUUUUCCAUUGACGUGUAAAAAUAUAAUUUUAUGUUUCUACUGAAAAAUAAUUUUGUUUCGACUUUUCUUUAAUAGAUGAAGAACUAUAUUGGAUAAGAAAAGAUUAACACAAUAAUAAUAUUAAAUAAAUGAAUGAAUGGAUAAACUAUGAUGAACACGUAAAUUAUGUAUCAGUCGUAUUUUGUGUUAUGGUUAUAUAAUGAUAAUGAUAUAAAGUAUGAUUUAGAGUAUUCACUUAUCCCAGUGAUUUUAAUUAUGUUGUUUAGAUGGAAUGAUAGUUUGAUAAAAUUAUUUGCAAUAUUAGUAUGUUUGCAAAUUUUGUGAUUAGAAUUACUUAAGAGUUAUGUUAUUUGAUAUCUAUAUGUUAGGAAUAAUUUGUUAGUCACCAAAUUGACCAAAUUAGUAAGUUAUAUAGAUAUGAAAUGAAACUUAAUUGAUGAAAAAUCUUUUAUCUUCUUAUUAUGAAAAAGAAAAAUAAAAAUAAAGAAGAGGAUAAAGAUCAUCAACAGAUAAUUACACUGUCAAGAUUAGAGUUUCCAAAAUUCAUAUAUUUUUUUUAUUAAAAUUAUCCGAGAUUAAUUACAUUUUUAAUUACUCCAUUAAUAAUGUUACUAUUUUUUCAUGAUUGAGUUGCUCAACUUUAAAAUAUAAUAAAUUAUACAUGUUUAAAUUCCAUAAAAUUUGGUAUAAUAAAUUAUGUUUUAUUGUCCUUUUCCGUUAUAUUUAAAUCACAAAUAGUUUAAAGCAUCUAUUUAUUUGUGAUUAUUUGAUAUCUAUAGUAUAAAUAAUUUGUUAAUCACCAAAAUGAUCAAAUUAUUACGUAAUUUAUAAAUAUCAAAUUAAAGUUAUGUUAGUUCAAUUAUCCAUGUUUGUGAUUGUUUUGUUACAAUAUAUCUAUGUUAUGAUCAAUUUGUUGGUCAUCAAAGUGGCAAAAUUAGUAAGUCUUAUAGAUAUAUUCCAUAUUGUUUUGAAAAUGAUGAAAAUUAAAUAAUUAUUUGUGAUUAUUUUAAUAUGAUAUCUAUAUUAUGAAUAAUUUGUUAGUCAUCAAAGUGGCCAAGUUAGUAAAUUUAAUAGAUAUCAAAUUGAAGUUGAUUCAACUACGCAUGUUCACUUGAUGCUAAUGAAUGAGAUGAUAUUAUGAAACAUUAAUGAUUGUCAUGAGUGUAUUGAUCUUCGUUAUUAUAAAACAUUUAAUUUGACCAAAGGUAAUUAGUAAUUUUAUAAUUUAGAAUCUUAUUAUGGUUAAUUGAGGUGUUUGGUUAGAUAUUAUUAGUAUAUCUAAAUAUAACUAAUGUAUCUAAUUUAAGCAUUUAAAUUACCAAUUAUAUGAAACUAAAUCUAGCAUUAGUUAAGUAUAAAUAUUAUACAUUGUUUGUGCCUUCCAAAGAAGAACUUCAAUGUAUAAGCUAAUGAUUAUUUAAUAUUAUUUGAAUAUGUGUUGUAUCUUUAUGUUUAUUUCUCAAAGCAAUAAUGUAUAAGCAUGUUUAUUUUGUAAUUAAUUGCAUCAUCUGCUCUUGUUUCUAUUUAUUUGCAUGCUACAUCUAUAAUUCAGUUAAUUAACUCUAUUUUUUUUUUAUUGGUGCAAACAAAUUCGACUCUAUCUUGGGGUUUUGGUUCUUGAUUUGACACUUCUUAAGUGAAAGAUUUGUUGCACUAAUUUUUGCUAGUAGUGAUGAUGAUAAAUCUUUCUAUAAAGUUUGGGAGAGAUCAAAUAGAUUGAGUCUAGUAAUGUUUAUGUGAAUGGUUGUAGCAAACAAUAUCAAGUCCACAAUUACAAUAUUGAAAAUGCUAAGAAUUUUAUAAAAUUUAUGGAAAAUAUGAUGAGAAGGCACAUUGUUUUGAUCCAUUUGCUAAAUUCCUAGAAAGUCAUGGUAUAUAUAUGUGCUCAAUACACAAUACCAGGAACGUCACAACAAAGUGGUAUUACACCGGUGUAAUUGUACAUUAAUGAAUAUGGUUAGAAGCAUGUUUAUCUUUACAUGUGUCCUUGUGGAUGUAUGCAUUAAAAACCUCUCAAUAUUUAUUAAACAAGGUUUCUAGUAAGUUAAUUCUAAAGAUAUCUUUUGAAUUGUGGAGAGUAAGAAAACCUAGUUUAAGACACCUAUAUAUUUGGGGUUGUCAAGACGAAGUAAGAAUUUAUAAUCCACACGAAAGAAAACUGAAUUAUAUUAAAAAAAAAAACAACCAAUGGUUUCUUCAUUGGUCAUCCAGAAAAAUCAAAAGGCUAUAGAUUUUAUUGUUUUAACAACAGUAUAGGAAUAGCUGAAACUGAAAAUGUAAGAUUGAUUCCUUAGAAUGACGUAAUUAGUGGAAGUUUGAAACCACCUAAAGUUGAAAUUCAAGAAGUUAGGGUGGAAAGUUUUUCAUCUAUAACUUCUUCACAAAUUGUUGUUCAUGUAGCUAUUGACUCUAUUAACAAUCCACAAGAAUAACAAAUUAAUGGUCAAUUAAUGGUCAAACACCACAUAAUGAUGUUAUAACAAAUGAACCUAUAACUAAUGGACUACAAGAAAUAGAGUUAAGAAUAUAUGUAAGACAAAGAAGAUCAGCUAUUUCGGAUGACUGUGUAAUUUAUUUGCAUGAGUUAGAAUUUGACUUAAGUAUUAAUAAUGAUCCAGUUUCAUUUUCACAAGCCAUUAAAGAAGAUAAUUCUGCCAAAUGGUUAGAUGCGAUGAAAGAAGAGUUGAAAUCUAUGAAUGAUAAUGAAGUUUGGACCUUAUAGAAUUGCCUAAAGGAAGUAAAAGAGUUGAGUGUAAAUGGGUCUUUAAGACCAAACAUGACUCAAAUGGCAAUAUCGAAUGACACAAGGCUAGACUUGUUGCCAAAGGUUAUACUCAGAAAGAUGAUAUUGACUACAAAGAGUCUUUUUCACCUGUCUCGAAAAAUAACUCAUUAAGAAUUUAGUAGCUCAUUAUGAUUUAGAGGUUCAUCAAAUGGAUGUGAAAAAUACCUUUCUAAAUGGGAAUUUAGAUGAACAAUUGUUCAUGGAUCAACCAGAAGGUUUUAUGGUUGAAGGAAAGGAACAUAUGAUGUGUAAAUUAAAGAGGUCAAUAUGCAGACUUAAACAAGCUUCUAAACAAUGGUACAUCUUAAGUGCAAUGAUACCAUCACAUCUUUUGGUUUUAAAGAAAACAUUGUUGAUCGAUGUAUAUACCUAAGGAUCAAUUGGAGUAAAUUUAACUAUAAUCCUUGUUUUAUAUGCCUACUUACAAGAGAUCUAAUCAUCUUGAGAUGAUUGAAUAUUUAGAUUCAGAUUUUGUCGGAUGUGUAGAUACAAGAAAAUUCACUUUUGGCUAUUUGUUUCUAUUAGCUGAAGGAGCAAUUUCAUGAAAAAAUGUGAAGCAAUGUAUUGUUGGUGCAUCCCCUAUGGAGGUUGAAUUUGUAGGAUGCUUUGAGGCUACAAUUCAUGUUUUAUGGCUGCAUAACUUUAUCUUAGGACUUGGAAUUAUCGACAAUAUUGCCAAGCCGCUGAGAAUUUAUUGUGAUAACUUUGCAAUAGUUUUCUUCUAAAAACGACAAGUAUUCUAAAAGUGCUAAAUAUAUGAAAUUAAAAUAUUUUGUUGUUAAAGAAGAAAUUUAAAAACAAAGAAUGUCAAUCAAACACAUUAGCACUAAACUUAUGAUUGCAGAUCUACUAACAACAGGGAAUGUCACCAAGGACAUUCAAUGAUCAUGUUCAACAUAUGGGCAUUAGUAGAUAUCAUUAUUGAAAUCAAGAUUAUGGUUCUGUUCAUAUGAUUAGUAUAUACAUAAAUGAAUUAUGUAAAUCAAAGAGGACAUUGUCUUUGAUAAAGACACUUAUUGUUGGACCGUUAUUGAUUAUCUUUAUUAUAGAUCAUGUUAAUAGAAGAACUAUUUUAGUGAUACAAGGAAGAGAGUAUGUUAAUGCAAUGAUGUAUGACCAUCAUGAUUCUUUAGUAGUUUCUUUGGACUUGACAUGAUAUAUUACGAAGUCUAAUUUUGAGCAUUAUGUCUUUGUUAAGUAAUGUCAAUGUGGGCCAAGUGGGAGAAUGUUAAAUUUAUUUUAAAUUAAUAUUAUUAUUAACGUGGCCCAUUUAUGCAUUAUGUGUUAUUUUAUCUCUUUCAGACCUAUUAUUUUUAUAAGUUCAUUAGGUAAAAAAAAUAAUGUCCUAAUUAAACACCAUGAUAUGUGGUAUCUAUAAGCAGAACCUUAGGGUUUAGUCCUCUCACUAUCUCAUUGAAGUAGUUUACUCUUCCCCAUUAAGAAACUUAAUUAAGUUAAGAGAGGUCAAGUGAGAGAAACACAAUCUUAUAGAAAACCAUUCAUGGAUCCAGGUAUGUGAUUUUCUGACUAAGUUUAAUUUGUGAAAAUCAUUUAGUUCAAAGAUCUUGACAAUUAUUUUUUUAUAAAAUGUUAUGGUUUUAUUGUACAAACAUGAAAAUAAAACUUACAAUGAUUUGCUUCAACUUACCAGUCAACUUUCCCUAUAUCAAGUCAAAUGCAGUGCAGUUGGAUUAUUAUUAGAGAAAAAAUAAUUUUUUUCUCUUUUAUAAUUUAUUAGAAAUAUUUUUAAAUAUGGUAAAAUGAACCACGAUAUUAAUAACAUUUUUAUCAUUUAUAAUAAUUUUUCUUUUAUAGUUUAAAUUGCUAUUAUAAUCAAAUUAGGAGUGAAGGACACAUAUGUAAUAGGGAAAUUGCAAUAGAUGACAAAUAAAAUUAUAAAAAAACAACUCAUAACUCCUCUUUUUUACAUAAUUGCAAAUUUAGCAAAUAUGACUAGUAAUUGACGAUAAUCGUCUGUUUUUAAAUUUGUCAUUUUUGCAAUUUAGAAAAUGAGAGUUUGCAAUAAUAGCAAAAACAUUUAUAAUAAUAGAGCUCAUGUAAUCUAUAUUUUCUAAAUUGCAAAAUCACAAAUUUAAAAGCAGAUUACAGUCUAAUUAUCAUAAAUUACUAGUCAUAUUUGUCAAAUUUGCAAUAUGCAAAAAACGUGUUUUGAACUGUUUUUUCUAAUUUAUUUUAUCAUUUAAUGCAAUUUCUAUUUAAAAAAUGUAACUUACAUGAGUUUUAUUAUCAUAAUUUUUUUUUCUUUUUUGCCAUUUUUACAAACUCUCUCUCCUAUAUAAUAUGAGUGGUUGGGUUCAAGAAUUAUUGAUAAAAAUGUUCAAGAAUAAAGUAUUAACACAAGAAUUAUUGUUGUUGUUAGAAACAUAGCUAAGAAUAAUUUAGCAUUUUGGGGAAGUAAUAAAAAAAAUUAUCAAGAAAAUAAUGGGAUUUUUUUUAGCUUCAUUGAAAUAAUUGAUCCAAUAAUGCAAGCACAUUUUCGUCGCUUACAAAAUAAUUUUAAAAAAAAGGUAAAAUAUAAAUGAUCGAUUGUUUUUUAUUAAAAACUUAAGAACUUUAUAUUUUCGUACCUAAUUGUAUCCAUAAAUUUUUUAAAAAAAUUAUAAGACCAAAAUUAUGAUUAUUAACCAUUAUUUUCUCUAUAAAUAGUAAGUUUUGAGCUCAUGUGCACAGAACGAAGGCAGGAUACUAAGAUAUGAAGAUCAAACCAACAUUUGGAAUUACUCUCUUUUUGCUUCUUUUGGUAUGAAUUUCCUUUUUCUCAAUCUCUUUUUUUUGAGUUUUUUUUCAAUACAGAUAAAUGUUGGUCUAUAGGUUUCAUGGACUUGGAUUUUUUUUGUUUGUUUUUUUGAAGUAAGUCUAUUUCUUUUUAUUUUCUUACCAUGAUUUGCAUCUUUUCUUGAGUACACGAGUCAAAUUCUUGGCUAGAUUUCAAAAACAAAAAUAAGUUUUGAAAACUAACUAGCUAGUUGUUUUUUAGUUUUCAAAAUUUGACAUGAUUUUUUAAAACAUUACUGGAAAGUAGAUCACAACAGGAGAAAUUUAGCGGGCGUUUGGGGUUAAGAGUGACUUCUAAUAGUACGAGGAUUAUAAUAGUCUGUGUAGGGGUGUAGACUACUAUUUCAGUUUUUGUCUUAUUGCUUCCUUAAUUUGUGGUGGAUACUCUUAAGAUUUCCACUUUAACUUGACCUUCUACUUUUACUUGAUAAAUAUUUGGAAAUUAGUGGGAGAGAGGGUGUGAGGAGGAGGAGAAAGAGGAAUGAAAACAAGUAUGAUCAUGAUACUAGGGUUACAAAAAUAUUAAUCCUAGUACUAUCGUAAUAGGGUUACGAAAAUCUUAAUCCUAGUACUAUCGUAAUAUAGAGUAGACUAACUCACUCUACUUCUCUCUAUCCCAUGGCCCAACAGCCCCAAAUAGUGUUGUAGAUAUAAUUUUCCCAAACUAAAAACUAAAACACCAAAGGAUUAUUAAUUAAUAGACUUUAAGAAACUUGUUUAUAAAUUUUACCAAAUAAAAUAUGUGUUGCAAGAAAUUAAACCCAUGAAAUUAAUUUAUGGUAAUCUCUCUUAUUUUUCUUUCUUUGUUGUCAUGGUGGGGCAUUAUUUAGUUUUUCAACGGCAUAGAGUCAAGGUAUGAACCCGGAGGACAAUGGAAAAAUGUGAUUGAAGAUGACUCAUUACCAGUUGUAUCACAAGAAAAAGAAGAUUGCUUUAAAUACAAAAGCCUUAAAAAUGAAAAUACUUUUUUCAACGAUACAAAACCACGACCAAGUAUCACAUUCUACCCAAAUGAUGGAAGCAAGGACAAGCUUUUUAUUAAAGAUAUUGAGCCACGACCAAGUGCCACAUUCUACCCAAAUGAUGAGAGCAAGGACAAACUUUUUACUAAAGAUAUUGAGCCACGACCAAGUCUCACAUUCUACCCAAAUGAUGAUACCAAGGACAAACUUUUUACUAAAGAUAUUGAGCCACGACCAAGUCUCACAUUCUACCCAAAUGAUGAUACCAAGAACAAGCUUUUUACUAAAGAUAUUGAGCCACGACCAAGUCUCACAUUCUACCCAAAUGAUGAUACCAAGAACAAGCUUUUUACUAAAGAUAUUGAGCCACGACCAAGUCUCACAUUCUACCCAAAUGAUGAUACCAAGAACAAGCUUUUUACUAAAGAUAUUGAACCACG